rnacentral:rRNA from 1 species
GACAGAGGGUGCAAACGUUGUUCGGAAUUACUGGGCGUAAAGCGUGUGUAGGUGGCUGCGUAAGUCGGAUGUGAAAGCCCUGGGCUCAACUCAGGAAGUGCACUCGAUACUGCGUAGCUCGAGUACCGGAGAGGUUGGUAGAAUUCUCGGUGUAGAGGUGAAAUUCGUAGAUAUCGAGAGGAAUACCUGUGGCGAAGGCGGCCAACUGGACAAGUACUGACACUGAGACACGAAAGCGUGGGGAGCAAACAGG